CAGCUCCAGACCCUUUUGCGUCUGCUCCUCCAACUCUGUGAACACACACAUCCACACACACCCAGAGAAGCGCUCCAGGACCCCAUUUACUGCUCAGGAUACUUGCCCCUCUUCACUUCCUGUCAUCACCAGCAGACACAGCGAAACCUACAAUCUGGGCCUACACCAAACUCCAACACAGAUGCCUCAAGUCGUCUAGACGUACCGCUCUUUAAACUGACAAUUAUGACCUUUGAUGAACAUUUAAUUUCAUUAGUACUGAGAGAGUACAGCUGCUGACUACCCUGCUGGGGUGUAAGCGGUUUCAUUUCCUGAGUCAGAGAGGCUUAUUCUGCCUGAAAAGGGAACUGCGCUCGUACAUUUUCUGCCUGGUUAGGGUGUGUCUCUCAUGGCUGGAAUUCAAAAACACUUAGCACACUAUUAUUAGCACAUGCUCAAAAACACCCCGCUCAGGCCCACGUGUAAUGUUUCCAUGACCUAUUCUUCACUGCUUUUUAUCACACCAAAACUAUUAACUACUUUUAAUGAGCUUUACAUUCAGAAGCAUGUUUUCUGUAUUACAUAAUUUACUUUUUGACAAGCUUUUGGCUUGCUGAGUCACCUUAUGUAAUGAGAAGCUUUCUUCAAGAAUACUUCACCUCACUGACUGGCUGAAACUUUGGGUUAUUUUUAAAAUCUCCAUUUGCUUUAUCUUUACUCAUACAGCUGUGUCCUACUGCAUCUACUGAACACACUGAAACUACAAAAGUCUUAUUGACCCUUGUUU